AUUGAACGCUGGCGGCAUGCCUUACACAUGCAAGUCGAACGGUAACGCGGGGCAACCUGGCGACGAGUGGCGAACGGGUGAGUAAUGCAUCGGAACGUGCCCAGUAGUGGGGGAUAGCCCGGCGAAAGCCGGAUUAAUACCGCAUACGACCUACGGGUGAAAGGGGGGGAUCGCAAGACCUCUCGCUAUUGGAGCGGCCGAUGGCGGAUUAGCGAGUUGGUGGGGUAAAGGCCUACCAAGGCGACGAUCUGUAGCUGGUCUGAGAGGACGACCAGCAAGACUGGGACUGAGAAACGGCCCAGACUCCUACGGGAGGCAGCAGUGGGGAAUUUUGGACAAUGGGCGAAAGCCUGAUCCAGCCAUGCCGCGUGCGGGAAGAAGGCAUUCGGGUUGUAAACCGCUUUUGUCAGGGAAGAAAUCUUCUGAGUUAAUACCUCGGGAGGAUGACGGUACCUGAAGAAUAAGCACCGGCUAACUACGUGCCAGCAGCCGCCGCUG
rnacentral:rRNA from 1 species